rnacentral:rRNA from 1 species
AGUGAACGCUGGCGGUAGGCCUAACACAUGCAAGUCGAACGGCAGCACAGUAAGAGCUUGCUCUUACGGGUGGCGAGUGGCGGACGGGUGAGGAAUACAUCGGAAUCUACUUUUUUGUGGGGGAUAACGUAGGGAAACUUACGCUAAUACCGCAUACGACCUACGGGUGAAAGCAGGGGAUCUUCGGACCUUGCGCGAUUGAAUGAGCCGAUGUCGGAUUAGCUAGUUGGCGGGGUAAAGGCCCACCAAGGCGACGAUCCGUAGCUGGUCUGAGAGGAUGAUCAGCCACACUGGAACUGAGACACGGUCCAGACUCCUGCGGGAGGCAGCAGUGGGGAAUAUUGGACAAUGGGCGCAAGCCUGAUCCAGCCAUACCGCGUGGGUGAAGAAGGCCUUCGGGUUGUAAAGCCCUUUUGUUGGGAAAGAAAAGCAGCAGGUUAAUACCCCGCUGUUCUGACGGUACCCAAAGAAUAAGCACCGGCUAACUUCGUG